AUGAAGAGGAAUGGUGACAUUCAGUCCUUUUUUCGGAAUUAUGAGGCUGCUAAAAGAAAGAAGGUUGCAGCCGAAGAGCAACCUGAAGAUAUAGUGUCAAAUAUUGAAGAUGAAGCAGUCCAUUCUCCACCUCCAGUCCAUUCUGCAGAGAUUGAAUUUGAUAUUGAAGAUGAAGCAGUCCAUUCCGAUGCAGAGAUUGAAAGUGAUUGUGAAGAUGAAGCAGUCCAUUCUCCGUGUGCAAGGCCAUAUAAUAUUCAAAGGCUUCCUCCUGGUCCAGGGGAGAGGAUUCCUAUUUCACAGUAUGAUGUCGAUGAUCAAGAUGAAGUUCGGAGACGAUACAUUGCAAAGCAAGCAGUCCAACCAUAUGCACACAACUUUCAAGUCAGAAAAAUCUAUGGUAAAAAUUAA
rnacentral:rRNA from 1 species